GAUAAGGUGGCUGAAUUUUAGGUUGUAAAUUGUAAAUUUAUAUAUGAGUGUUUACUCUCUUAUCA
rnacentral:tRNA from 1 species